UGAGGAAUAUUGGUCAAUGGGCGAGAGCCUGAACCAGCCAUGUCGCGUGAAGGAAGAAUGUCUUAUGGAUUGUAAACUUCUUUUAUACAGGAAUAAAGUGUACUACUAGUAGUAUUUUGUAUGUACUGUAUGAAUAAAGAUCGGCUAACUCCGUGCCAUCAGCCGCGGUACUACGGAGGAUCCGAGCGUUAUCCUGAUUUAUUGUGUUGAAAGGGUGCGUAGGCGGAAUAGCAAGUCAGUGGUGAAAGUUUGCAGCUGAACUGUAAAAUUGCCAUUGAAACUGCUGUUCUUGAGUACAGUAGAGGUAGGAGGAAUGUGUAGUGUAGCGGUGAAAUGCAUAGAUAUGACACAGAACACCGAUUGCGUAGGCAGCUUACUGGAGUGUAACUGACGCUGAGGCACGAUAGCGUGGGGAUCAAACA
rnacentral:rRNA from 1 species